GGCCGACUAGCUCAGCUGGUUAGAGCGUCGUGCUAAUACAGAAGGUGUUAACGCGAAGGUCUUGGGUUCGAUCCCCACGUUGGCCA